rnacentral:rRNA from 1 species
GGUGCAGCAGUCGGGAAUUUUGCGCAAUGGCCGCAAGGCUGACGCAGCAACGCCGCGUGAGUGAAGAAGGCCUUCGGGUUGUAAAGCUCUGUUGCCCGUGAAGAACGGCGCUUUCAGGAAAUGGGAAGCGUUUGACGGUAGCGGGAGAGGAAGCCCCGGCUAACUACGUGCCAGCAGCCGCGGUAAUACGUAGGGGGCGAGCGUUGUCCGGAUUUAUUGGGCGUAAAGGGCGUGUAGGCGGCUUUGUAAGUCAGAGGUGAAAACCCAGGGCUCAACCCUGGGAGUGCCUCUGAAACUGCGAAGCUUGAGUGCUCUAGAGGGCAGUGGAAUUCCCGGUGUAGCAGUGAAAUGCGUAGAGAUCGGGAGGAACACCAGUGGCGAAGGCGACUGCCUGGGGAGUAACUGACGCUGAGGCGCGAAAGCUGGGGAGCAAACGGGAUUAGAUACCCCUGUAGUCCC